GACGAACGCUGGCGGCGUGCCUAAUACAUGCAAGUAGAACGCACAGUUUAUACCGUAGCUUGCUCCACCAUAAACUGUGAGUUGCGAACGGGUGAGUAACGCGUAGGUAACCUGCCUGGUAGCGGGGGAUAACUAUUGGAAACGAUAGCUAAUACCGCAUAAUAUUGAUUAUUGCAUGAUAAUUGAUUGAAAGAUGCUAUUGCAUCACUACCAGAUGGACCUGCGUUGUAUUAGCUAGUAGGUGAGGUAACGGCUCACCUAGGCGACGAUACAUAGCCGACCUGAGAGGGUGAUCGGCCACACUGGGACUGAGACACGGCCCAGACUCCUACGGGAGGCAGCAGUAGGGAAUCUUCGGCAAUGGACGAAAGUCUGACCGAGCAACGCCGCGGGAGUGAAGAAGGUUGUCGGAUCGGAAAGCUCGGUUGUAAGAGAAGAACGGGUGUGAGAGUGGAAAGUUCACACUGUGACGGUAUCUUACCAGAAAGGGACGGCUAACUACGUG
rnacentral:rRNA from 1 species